UCUAAUAUGGCAGAAUAGUGCAUUAGAUUUAAGCUCUAAAUAUAAAGUAACCUUUUGUUAGAA
rnacentral:tRNA from 1 species